AGCAUGUGGUUUAAUUCGAUGCAACGCGAAGAACCUUACCAGGUCUUGACAUCCAACGAAUCCUUCUGAAAGGAAGGAGUGCCUUCGGGAGCGUUGAGACAGGUGGUGCAUGGUUGUCGUCAGCUCGUGUCGUGAGAUGUUGGGUUAAGUCCCGCAACGAGCGCAACCCUUGCUAUUAGUUGCUAACAGGUUAAGCUGAGCACUCUAAUGGGACUGCCGGUGACAAGCCGGAGGAAGGUGGGGAUGACGUCAAAUCAUCAUGCCCUUUAUGACCUGGGCUACACACGUGCUACAAUGGAUGGUACAGAGAGCAGCGAGGCAGCGAUGUGGAGCGAAUCUCAAAAAGCCAUUCUCAGUUCGGAUUGGAGUCUGCAACUCGACUCCAUGAAGUCGGAAUCGCUAGUAAUCGCGAAUCAGCAUGUCGCGGUGAAUGCGUUCCCGGGCCUU
rnacentral:rRNA from 1 species